rnacentral:rRNA from 1 species
CCAGACUCCUACGGGAGGCAGCAGUGAGGAAUAUUGGUCAAUGGCCGGAAGGCUGAACCAGCCAAGUCGCGUGAGGGAAUAAGGCCCUAUGGGUCGUAAACCUCUUUUGUCAGGGAGCAAAGGCGUCCACGAGUGGACGAAAGGAGAGUACCUGAAGAAAAAGCAUCGGCUAACUCCGUGCCAGCAGCCGCGGUAAUACGGAGGAUGCGAGCGUUAUCCGGAUUUAUUGGGUUUAAAGGGUGCGUAGGCGGAGUGUCAAGUCAGCGGUAAAAUUUCGGGGCUCAACCCCGUCGUGCCGUUGAAACUGGCAGUCUCGAGUUGGAGAGAAGUAUGCGGAAUGCGCGGUGUAGCGGUGAAAUGCAUAGAUAUCGCGCAGAACUCCGAUUGCGAAGGCAUCUCACGAAUCCGCGAUUGACGCUGAUGCACGAAAGCGUGGGUAUCAAACAGGAUUAGAUACCCCGGUAA